UAUCAACACUUGUCCUCUACAAUUUUCUUAUAGUGUCACUACAUUUUUUUCUUUCCAAGUCUUAAGUAAAAUGGGUCUAAAAUAUGUGUUGUGUGCCAAGAUAGAAAUGAAGGCUAAUAAGGAUGUGUUUCAUGAUGUUUUUACAAAUAAACCACACCAUGUCUCUACUAUGUCCCCUUUGCAUAUACAAGGUUUGGAACUUCUUGAAGGUGACAUUGGAAUUGUUGGAUCCAAAAUUUGUUGGAACUAUACCCUUGAUGGGGAAAAGAAGAUCUCCAAACAAUACUUGAAACUAUAGAUCAUGAAAAAAAGGUGCUCACACUCAAAGAAUUUGAAGGAGAUGUAACAGAUAAAUAUGAUAGUUAUAAAGCAACUCUUCAUAUCGAAACAAAAGACGAAAUUGAUUUGGUUAGCUGGACAUUGGAGUAUGAAAGGCCAAAUGAGAAUGUCCCUGAACUUAUAAAUUUGCUGAACUUCGUUGUUGGUAUGACAAAAGCUAUUGAUGAUCACCAUGCCAAUUGAUGAAUUGAUAAGAUCUAUGUUGCUCGUACUCUUCAAAAAUGUCUUUAGAUGUGUAUUGAAUCCUUUAAAAAUAGUGCAUUUUUGAAGGAUCUGAUACAAAUAUGGUAACAUUUUUGAAUAGUCCGAGCAACUUAGGAUGGGAUCAUAUAUAAGCAUGUGAGCUUUACAUAAAUAAACUUUGCUUUGUUUGUUGUUUGAAAGUAUGGUAAAAAAAAACAAUCCUUGUUGGUUGUGUACUUUCUUUUAAUGUCGGUUGUAUCUUUCUCAAGUAAGUGAUAUGUUGUCAACUAUGUUAACCUUUGUGUUGUGUAAUAAGACAUGGGAAUGAAGUUUAUAUAUAUUGCUCUU